AACGAACGCUGGCGGCAGGCUUAACACAUGCAAGCCGAGCGCCCCGCAAGGGGAGCGGCAGACGGGUGAGUAACGCGUGGGAAUCUACCCAUCUCUACGGAAUAACGCAAGGAAACGUGUGCUAAUACCGUAUACGUCCUUCGGGAGAAAGAUUUAUCGGAGAUGGAUGAGCCCGCGUUGGAUUAGCUAGUUGGUGGGGUAAAGGCCUACCAAGGCGACGAUCCAUAGCUGGUCUGAGAGGAUGAUCAGCCACACUGGGACUGAGACACGGCCCAGACUCCUACGGGAGGCAGCAGUGGGGAAUAUUGGACAAUGGGCGCAAGCCUGAUCCAGCCAUGCCGCGUGAGUGAUGAAGGCCCUAGGGUUGUAAAGCUCUUUCACCGGUGAAGAUAAUGACGGUAACCGGAGAAGAAGCCCCGGCUAACUUCGUGCCAGCCGCCGCCGUAAUAC
rnacentral:rRNA from 1 species